rnacentral:rRNA from 1 species
AUUGAACGCUGGCGGAAUGCUUUACACAUGCAAGUCGAACGGCAGCACGGACUUCGGUCUGGUGGCGAGUGGCGAACGGGUGAGUAAUACAUCGGAACGUGCCCAGUCGUGGGGGAUAACGUAGCGAAAGCUACGCUAAUACCGCAUACGAUCUAAGGAUGAAAGCGGGGGAUCGCAAGACCUCGCGCGAUUGGAGCGGCCGAUGGCAGAUUAGGUAGUUGGUAGGGUAAAGGCCUACCAAGCCGACGAUCUGUAGCUGGUCUGAGAGGAUGAUCAACCACACUGGGACUGAGACACGGCCCAGACUCCUACGGGAGGCAGCAGUGGGGAAUUUUGGACAACGGGCGCAAGCCUGAUCCAGCCAUUCCGCGUGCAGGAUGAAGGCCUUCGGGUUGUAAACUGCUUUUGUACAGAACGAAAAGGCUCUGGUUAAUACCCGGGGCUCAUGACGGUACUGUAAGAAUAAGCACCGGCUAACUACGUGCCAGCCGCCGCCGUAA